GUGAAAUUUUAAUGAUGUUGUUAUCCCUGUAUGAAAUUUUGAUUGUUCAAAUCUGACUUACUU
rnacentral:snoRNA from 1 species